CUCUCCCCUAACUUCUCCCACGUUCGUCUGCCACUAUGUAUAAAACUAUCAACAUCCUCUCCAAUCCAUUAUACACCUUCGUCUCGAAUUCUCUGCUCCUUUCUCACCAAGAAAACCCAAAUCAACAAUCGAAUUUUCUCUGGCCGUCUCUCCCCCAACCAAAUCCAAAUCAACAAUCAAUUGUUGAUUUGCAUCCCUAACCCAAAAGGCAUAGAAGCAUCUAAUUGUUUACACCCAAAUUGGAAAAAUUAGGGUUCGCUUUGUUAAAUGUGAAGUGAGUUGCCGGCCACUCGUGUUGAAGUCGACGAUUGUUGCGUCAUUGGAUCAGGAAGAAUGAACAAGGACGACGGGCGGUGUUGGUGAAGAUGUAGGAUGACGGGUGGCACUGGUGUUGUUCCCAGAAAAAAAAAACACAAUCUCGGUUCCGGUGAACCUAGGGUUCCUCCAUGACCUCAUACGAAGGUGGUGAUGGAUUCUGAAUAACCAGCAACGAUGGUUAAAGGAUUCAAGUGGGUGAAGACGAUCCAACAUGUUUUCUGGCGAGUCCCCUGUAAGUUUCUUGUGUUUUUCAUGUCUCUAUUUUAACCCAUCGGUGUUAGUGAAGGAAUUUAAGCGGCAAAGACAAGAAGCUAGAGUUCCGACCAAGUACGGCAAGGUUCCGGUGACCUGAUUCAGUUGUGGCGAUAAAGCUGACCGGCUCAACAUUUUGCAAAAGCCGCUACGGUUUUGGGUGCGUUUAAUCCCGAGAUUGAUUUUGCUUCUCCUUUGGAUGGUGAUGGUCAUGGAAGGGACCUAUGGACUUCGUUGACUUCUGCUGAACCAAGAAGAGAAGUAGAAAUUUUGGAUUACAUAUAUCCAGGUAUGACAUUUGCGACUGUGAAUAUGGAUACAACUAGUAGCGGAUUCAAGUUACCAAAGGAUUGUGCAAUUUGCCCAAAGUUGUGUUCACCCCUUUCCAUUUAGACAGAGCGUUAUUUAUAUGGAUGAUGUGUUACUCUUGGAAAGUGGGGAGCAAGGAUCGGCUUUUUGUGAGGAUAAAUGUUGGGUUCAAUGGGCAGAAGCCGAUAAGUUGGGCACAGUGGGAAGAUCCCAUAUUGUUUCCCAUAGUUUGGACCUGGCAUGAUGCAAGAGUGCAGGGCACAAACACGGAAUUUCCUUGAUUAUAUUUUAGUCAAACUCAACACCAUUUGCAGUGAUCCAUAUCUACCACCAUGUGCAGUGAACCAGGUCACUUGAGAAAGAACUUGCUGAGGCUUUGUGGGAAAAUAACACCGGGUUGAUAGCUUCCUGACCAAGGGACGAAUUCAUCAGUCACAAGUAUAUGGAAAAACAGUUAAAAAGGAACACGAUAACGAUGCAUCUUUACCUGAGACCGACUUGAAAGAACUUUAAGAAUUUAUCUUCACAUGAGCCUCAAAUAUUAAAAAGUAGAAGCCGAAAGAGAAGAGCUUAUAUCAGGUAAAUUAUAUCUUCUAUAAUUCCUUAAAUGUUAAUAUCCAAGAUUAGUAUCCAUUUUAGGAAGACAAAAAGUAUGAUACACUGAUUGAUGACUUCAUAAAUUUUGAUAUAAUGUAUAAAUUUUGAUAUUUAUAUUGUUGGGUUAGUUGGUUGUUCGCGGGUUAGUUCACGGGUCGGGUAGAAACAGUUCGGUAGCUUGCAGGUUACCCGGGUCAAAUGUUAGCAGGUUAGCGGGUCAUGUGUGAUGGGUCGGACAAGUGGUAACUAUUAACGGGUCAGUAGGAAUAACCUGGUAAUGGAUGACCGAGUUUGCUAGAGGAUCAUUGGAAGAUGGAUGAUAUGGUUGCUGACUUGCUGAAUAAAAGGAGUUCGACAGGAAUAUACUUUCAGCACAUGCAUUUUAUAUGUUUUGUUUAUAAUUAUAAACAGGAUAGAAUUAUUUUUAUUUAGUUUAUUUGUAUCCUCAUUUUCAUUCGUAUACAGUAGUAUUUCUUCA